UACGAAGGGGGCUAGCGUUGCUCGGAAUUACUGGGCGUAAAGGGUGCGUAGGCGGGUCUUUAAGUCAGAGGUGAAAUCCUGGAGCUCAACUCCAGAACUGCCUUUGAUACUGAGGAUCUUGAGUUCGGGAGAGGUGAGUGGAACUGCGAGUGUAGAGGUGAAAUUCGUAGAUAUUCGCAAGAACACCAGUGGCGAAGGCGCUCACUGGCCCGAUACUGACGCUGAGG
rnacentral:rRNA from 1 species